rnacentral:misc_RNA from 1 species
AAGCUGUCAUCUGAAUUGAUGAUAUGACAGCAUUUGGUUGUUUUACAGUGGAAUGAAAUUUGUCAAAGAAACUUAUUCUAGUUGGGUGAGAAACAAGUAAAGCAAAACUAGAUUUAGCUAAAUUAUAAGUCUCUACUUUGCUUUUUGGUAUUUUGCUAGAUUUACUGCUAAAGAAGUUUUUUGGUUGAUGUUAGCAGAUAGUUAUAUUAUUUGUUUUCUUUUGGGGUUGAGGGAUGACAUUUGUUUCGUCCUUGUGGCCAAGGACUUUUUUCUGGCAGCUAGCAGAG